GUAAUGGGGGCGCUUUGCACGUGCAAGGCUGAGAAGUACCCCUUGAACCUGCUCCGGAUAAUGCCGGCGAAGGAAAUU
rnacentral:ncRNA from 1 species